UAGUUCAGUCCCUGUUAGGGUUGGUGUCACUGAACCGAGUACAUUUAGGAUGCGCAUCUCUAUAUUAAUUUCAUUUGGAAACGGAUAUAUAUACACAUGAAAAAAGAAUGAGUCAAGGGUGUUUUUAUUCUUAAAUAAUUUGGGUGUCUCUUUCCUCUGUUUUAGUCAAAUAUAUGAGAGUAGUUUAUAAAUUAGUUGAGCUGGAGUUGCCAAACUUGGCUGUAUAUCUGAGCAGUCUGGAUGGGAAGAUUUUGCAACUGAUAUUGUCCUCAAGCAGCUGAUCAUCAGACCAUUUCCUUCCCCUACCCAAACCAGCAAAAUGACCACAUCCAGCAGGCAGAGCUCUUCUACGUCUAUGGUCAACAACUUGGCCAAAAUAUUUGAUCCAAAUGCUUUGCAAAACCAAGGGCCUGAUAAUGGAAUGGAACCCCCAAAAACUCUUCAUGUUGCAAGAAGUGAUGUCAGCACAUCUGAAAAUUCUAAAAUCAUGGAUAUGAAGUUUGCCUCCCUUGAACAGAAAAUAGAUAAGCUGUUGACUCUGCAAGACAAUGUCCUUAAGAAGCUUAACAGCGUUUCCCAAGAAAUCUGUUGCAUUGAAAAAGACAUUGAGAUUGUAAAGGCAGAAACAUCUGAACCUGGAUCAAGGCUGGAAAGAAACAAAAAUAUGAGGAGUAAUGAAAUGAAGAGGCUUUGCCUUAAAAUGGAAAAAUCUCUUUUUGAUAUAAACAGGAAUGCACAGCAGCAGGUUAAACGGCUAGAUGGAUUGGAACAAAAUGUUUCUGGACUACAGAAGCUUGUAAGGCCUCUGGUUGAGAGAGUUAAAACUUUAGUAAUUCAUAAUUCAGUUGUAAAACACCAUGUUAAAAAACGUAAACUUUGCAAGGCAGCUGAUAAUACAAAAGAAGUUGGACCUCGUUUUAGGAUGCAGAUUUUCUCGGAGAGAACAGCUGAAGACCUCCUCAAGAAGAAAAGUGAAAAGGUCAUAAAAGAAAAAUCACAUUUGAAUGAGACGGGAACAAAAGAGAAGAAGCCACCAGAUUCAACAGAGAGUACCACCCAGAAGAACCAGUCGGGCUCUCAGGAAGAAGAAGUUGAUAAGCUCAACAAGGAAAAUGCCAAGAGGGAAAACUCUGCUCUGCUUCAAAUGGAUCCUGCCAAAUUUCAUACUGAAGGGCCAGAGGAAAAAGGAGAAAGUUUGGCUUUUGAAAGCUAUUGCAGGAGAAGCUCUGUUCAGAAAUCCUUCGCUACAGAAAAGCAGCAAGAAGAAGAAGCUGUUGAUGAUGCUUGUCAAAGGAUAACUGGGCAGGAGGGAGAGAGUGGGUCCCCAGCAGACAGGGAGAGGAAGGAGGAACAUCAGGUCUCUGGAGAUGAAAGACAAGAGGAGAGGGAAAAUGAAAGGGGAAGAAUUGCUGAUGAGAGUGAAAAAGAAGGUGAGGAAGAGCCAGCUCCUUCCCAAAAUGAAGAUGAGGCAGGACAAAGCCAUGAUCAAGAGGCACCAGAGGGAAGGUGUAAAGGCUGCGGAAAAGAUGAUAGUCCUACUCCACCAGCACCAUUUGGUCACCGGAUUGUCUCAGCCAGAAGGGUGGGGAUCAACAGUUAUUAUAAUGUCAACAAGAAUGAAAUCUUGGGAGGAGGGCGAUUUGGUCAAGUGCACAAAUGUGAAGAGAAAGCAACAGGUCUCAAGCUAGCGGCCAAAAUUAUACAAGCCAAAGGCCCUAAACAGAAGGAUGAAGUAAAGAAUGAAAUCAGUGUCAUGAACCAGCUGAAUCAUGUGAACCUCAUCCAGUUAUAUGAUGCCUUUGAAUCAAAAAAUGACAUUGUCCUAGUCAUGGAAUAUGUGGAAGGAGGAGAGUUAUUUGACCGGAUUAUUGAUGAAAACUACAAUUUGACAGAGAUGGAUACCAUUGCAUUCAUAAAACAAAUCUGCGAGGGAAUUCAGUACAUGCACCAAAUGUACAUUCUUCAUUUGGAUCUCAAGCCUGAGAAUAUCCUGUGCGUGAACCGAGCAGCAAAUCAAAUAAAAAUCAUUGAUUUUGGACUAGCAAGAAGAUAUAAACCCAGGGAAAAACUUCGAGUUAACUUUGGGACUCCAGAAUUUCUUGCUCCUGAAGUUGUGAAUUAUGAGUUUGUCUCCUUUCCUACAGACAUGUGGAGCGUAGGAGUCAUUGCUUACAUGCUCCUCAGUGGAUUGUCUCCUUUUUUGGGUGAUGAUGACAAUGAGACCCUCAACAAUAUCCUGUCCUGUAGCUGGGAUUUUGAAGAUGAGGAAUUUCGAGAUGUUUCUGAUCAGGCCAAAGAUUUCAUCUCAAAGCUUCUCAUCAAGGAAAAAUGCUGGAGAAUAAGUGCAACUGCUGCCUUAAAACACCCUUGGUUAACAGACCACAAGCUCCACUACAGACUCCAGAAGGCGGCUGAAAGUGACUGUACGUCCCAAGCACCCGCAGCUCAAUAACCUCACUGAAAGAGCUGCCAAACAGAAGCUCCUUGUCUUUCCCCUUUCAUUAACAAACACCUCAUUAGUGGUUCUCAGGCUGGCUUGGUUGCUUCCCCUCAUGUUCAUUCCCUGGUCUUUGACCAAAACUUGCUCAGUCACUUUGAAAUCAGGCUACCUCAGGCAAUACAGUAUCUCCAUAAAUCAGUACACCAAUUUCCAUAGCCCCUUUUACCAGCUACCACAGAGGUUGGUGCCUCUACUGAAGGACCAUGGAAACCACUCAAAGGUUCUGGGGACAUCUCUGGGCACAACUCAGUGGAGAGUCGAGACGUGAAUGAGGCUGAGAACACACACACUGUAAAACCACUUCUUUUUAGUCAUGCAUCAUGAGUAACAACCAAGAUGCCAAAACAAAAGUAGUCCACUUCUCACCACAAGCAAGAUUUAAUGCUACCAUCAUCCAUCAUCUGCUUGGUAGGAAAAGCUGCUGUGUGGUUACUGCUGCUAAGAGAUUUGAAAAUAUCAGCAGUCUUGGUGCUUUACCCCCCCGCCAUGACCGAGACUUCUACUAAAUGGACCAACAGCAUUUUAGCUGGAGGACGAGUCCCAGCAUUGCUGAGCUGCUGCUUCUCUGUUGAGCUGUUGAAAGAAGGAAAGUGUUUCUCCAGGUUGCAGGAGGCUGUUUCUUCUGGAGCAACAUGGUGUUCUCCAUGUCUGGGAGUGCUACAUUAGCUUGGAUUCAUAACAAACUUUUCUCUAUCUUGUCUUACUUCCUCAUUUACUUCUCAAAGGCUCCUUAGGAUUCAAAUUAUAAGGUUAAAUAGGCUGUUUCUCAUCUCAACCCCAAAGGCAGUCUGUCGCUGUUAUAGCUGUAGCCACAGUUGUUUUGACACUGGAGUCAACUAAAAGAAAGAAAAAAAAGGCAACCAAUUUAAAGCUGCCUUAUGUAGAAGUUUUGAAGUUUGCUUUUCCUGUCACACCAAAAAUGACCUAAGGAUUAGCUCAACCAAAGUUAAAGCCAUGUUAAUGUAACACCAGUGGAAGUGAGAAAUGAGGCUUUCCUUGCAUGUAGGUGAAUUUUCUGCAACUGUGAUGUGAUACAUCUGAGGAUUUUUUAGGCUGAUGGAUUACUGUUCACUUUAAAUACACUUGGAUUCAUUAAAUAAGAAAGAAAACAAGGCACCAUUCACUUGUACCCAUGCAGACUCUGUUUUCCAAUAUGCAAGUAUAAUUCAGAGUUAUUUUAACAGAGGGUGAUUUUAUACCAGCUAAUUUGUUUAAUGCUAAUAGGACUGAUUAAAACCAUUCGCAAGGAGAGUCAGUCCUCUGCUCAUUAUAACCUCUGGUUACAGGGUUACAGGCCCAAACGCAAAUCCUCUGUUUUUCUAAAGUUUUCUCAUCUUGCACCCAAGCCUCUCUGAUUCUUAACUAGGUGAAAAGGCAGGAGUCAGAACAGCUGUAUUCUUUACCUGAGAUUGUUUGAGUGUGGCUCAUCAUUAGGCGAACAUCUGAGUCUUAGUUGCCUAGGCUGUGAGGUUAAAAUAAUGAGACGACUUCCCUGCUGUACAUGGCUUUCUGACUGCUUGGUUUCAGAACUACAUAAAAGCAAAGUAUAGUGAGUAUUCUAUUCAGUGAUGCUGACAUACUGCAGUGCCUUCAGAUUUUUUUUGAUUAAUCUAGUUCUGAUCGAACUACAUAUUAACAUAGCUAUGUCUAUAUAUUUAUCUAUACAUUUCAUUUGUAUUUAUAUUUAAAUUAUGUCUUUUUUUUUUUAAAGGGGAUCAACAUAAAACAGUAUUAUUCAUCACCACCCAAUGAAUUGUUUUUCAUACCUCUGUCCUUUCUGGACAGCAUCAUUUUGAAAUAAAAGGGGCCCAUUAGUGGGACAUCAUGGCCAUGACAUUCUCUACAGCCAGUUUGAUCCAGUGUUUUAAAGCCAUUGCAGUCUGUCUCUUGAGACUGCUCCCAUAAAUGAACAGGGCUUCUUACAGCUGUGAAAUCUAAGAAAUACUGAUGUGUGGUACUAGUUGUUGCAAAUACAUGAGACCCAUUACUACUAUCACACGAUGACUCACCAUGUAACUAUGAUACCAUGUAGAGUACUGCCACCUUCAAAUCCUUAUCUGUAGUCUCAACUAAAGUAAACUCUGACUAGCAGAAACUGAAGUUUCUCUGGAAAAAGACUAAGCAGUCUCAAAGCAAGAAAAUGAACAUAUGACUUUUAGAUAGAAACCAGGCUGCUUAUUUUUAGUCACCUGUUUGCCUGUGCAAAAUAAAUAGAAAAGCUACCUUUCUGUUAGGGCUGGAGUUCCCACUCAUUUUCUGACUGCCUUCAAGAUAUUGUAGCUUUUUUUUUUUUUUACAGUAAAUAACUCAGUGAUCAGACUAAAAUGCAGCAGACUACUUUGGAAUGACAGGAUCUCAUUAUGCACUUUAGUGCCAGUAUUGGAGGAUUAGGCUGGGGGUUUUGUUUUUCCUGUGGUAGAUUUCACAUGGAUAUGAGUAAAUUGCAUGUCAUUUUGAACCUUUUAGACUAUACUAGAAUAACAGUGUGACUACAGUUUUAUCUGCUUUGUUGUUCAGUUGAAUGAAGAGGAUUUAUAAUUUUUGGAUAUAUAUACAUCUGAGUAGUAAUUAAGAGCUUAGUGCCAUAAAGAUCAGCCCUGUGUUAGAGUAUAUUGUGCUGAGUUAGCCAGAAGUCCUCCAGGAGCUGUAAGAGACCGUAGCCUCUGCUAUGUACACCCACAGAGUUCAUCUGUCAGAAGUGUCACACAUGAAUUGCUGGGGAGGGUGGAAAAUCUUGACCCAUCUCACAUGCUUUGGGAGGCUAGGUCCAUUCAGAAGGCAUGAGUUGAGGAGGAGGCACUUCACUAGCCCUUUGCUUGUGCAACAGGGCAAUGUGUUAACAUACUCAAGCGAUUUAACUUUCGUUCUUACUAACACAGACAAUGAUGGUCACACUCUUGAUUCUUAUCUGUAAACUGCCUCACCGUUUCAUCCUGGAGCAGCUCCUGUAGUGGGGGAUGAGGUUGAGGUGAGGACGGUUGGAGAAGGUUGGGCUGAGUGAACCUCUACAAUGACUGAAGGUGCCGUUUGGUGUCCAGCAAAGGAGGAGAAAAUACCAACUGUACUUCUUGUUACUGCCCCAUAGACUCUAGCUCUGCAGCACCAAGUCAAAAAGGAGGCUAACUACCGAGAUCAUUGUCGUGAUUAAGGGUUAAAAAAAAAAUUACACAGCUGUGUAAUUAUCACGGCUAUAUAUAGUGGUGUACUUAAGAAAAAUGUCUCCAGAGAUGUUCAUUUGUAUCUUUUCUGGCUGUUUUAAUUUUAAUUAAAUAAUAACUCGACACAGCUAGCUUCCUUUUAGUGGCUUUCUAAUUCUGUCUUAUUGCACUUUGAGCUGCAUGAUGAUGUGUGUGUGUGUGCGAGUUUGGUUUUGGUUCUGUUUUCCUUAAAUAUGUUCUGUAAUGACUAAUAGCUAGAGACCGCUAUAUUAAAUUAUUGUUUUGACACAUCAUUAUUUAUUUUCUACUAGUUAAUAAUAGUAAUUUGACUAGGUUCUAAUAAGCAUCUAUAUGAGUUUGCUUAUCGUAAUUUUUGUUGUGUGUUGGUCUAUGUGAUUUCAUUUGGAAACUGAAUUACUGUGCUUGAGAGCAGGUUUGGGUGUGAAAGGCACUGUAUCAGCUGCUGUUACUCCAUUUAGCUGUAUACCCACAGACAGACAGGGAUGGCUGGAGGUACAAGAGCCAUAUAGAAACAUCAGUCAUGAUGGAAGAGGUAAAGUGUCAAGAUGCAGCAUUUGGUCUGUGUACACCAUCCUGACAUGUAAAAAUUAAAGGCUGAGUUGUGGGAACGUAGUGAUUUAUACCAGGUGGUUAUUUGACCCCCAGUUUGCACACAGACUCCCUGCUGGACUGCAAAAAGGCAGAGGGCUUUCUGCUCAGAAAGGCAGCUCUGGCAGUAAUUUUAUGUAGGGGCUGUCCUGCAGGAAUGGUCUGCGGGAAGUCACUGGAAGUUGAAGGCAGUCUGACAGAUUUUCCCAGGGCCUGGGAUGUAGCUGUAUCAGAAAAAUAUGACUUUACUUAUCAGGCACUGAAAGACAGCUAUUACCUGAUGCUUGAAAGAAUUAGGAUGCUGUUAUACCCAUUUCUAUAGAUGCAGCGGAGACAUUCAGCUAGAGAAAAUCUGAAUAUUUCACCCUAGAUACACUAGAGUAGUCUUACUUUAGCAUGAGGAUUAGAAGCAAAUUAGUUUGGCUCAAGGUGGGACACUAGUAGCUUUCCAGCGCUUUUCCAUGUUGAACAUCCUGGAGGCUAUGGAAUGGGUAAAAACCUUUACUGCAGAAAGAUGUCCAUACUACCAUAUCCGUGUUUGUGAACACCUGCAGCCAGUCACUCCCCUGACUACCCUCACAGCAUAAGCAGUUGGCAGUCUGUGAUAAUCCACUCUGGAGACUACAACAGAAGCUACUCCUUAAUUUAUUUUUUCAUGUUCCUUCUAAGGUCAGAAGCUGCAUAGAGUUAAAGUCUAAGCUAAAUUCUGUUAUAACUUGAUUCCAACCAGGAAUAACUGCAGCUCCACAGAAUUAAAUAUGGGGAGUACUUGGUCCACCUUUUGUGAUAUAAGUAGCACAGAAGCCUGGUUUAACACUCUUCCCUCACCCCCCC